rnacentral:tRNA from 1 species
GUCCAGGAAUAGGAAUCGAACCCACAGUAUUCCGUUUACCGGGCAGAUGCCAUGUCCACUAGGCUACCCUGGA